UAACAUCACAUUAAUAGAUCAUCAUUAUGUAUAAACAAAAAUAAAAAAAAUUUAUUACAUGAUAGAUUUAAAAAGAGUAACAAAAAAAAAAUAAUUUUAAUAUCAUAUUAAGUAUUUAAUUUAAAAUUAAUUGAUAAUAAAUAAAUAAAAAAUAACUUAAAUAUAAAAUUAUAAAAAAUUAAAUAGUUAUUAAACGUGGGAUAACUAAACUCUUUGUUCUUCAAACUGGGAAUCCUCUGGAUUGCUGCCUUUAAGAUCCCCUUGGUGUUGGAAUGGAAUGCUGGCCCAUCCACUUCCGUACAAGCCACGAAAAUUUUCUUCAAUUUCUAUACUCUGAACAAAUUCUUGAUUUUUCAGUAAAAGGCGCUGCAACUUGAAGCCCUAAUCAUCUUUGUCUUUGAUUAUGUCAAGUUUGGCUUUAGUAUAUUCUGAAGCAAUGAAAUUGGAAAGCGUAAUAACAAGCAGAUACAUGGAAUCUGGCCUAAAGAUUCCGAACAAUCUUUGCCACUUGCCACGUAAGCGUACAAGUUGCAGCAAGCAGCAACAUCGGAUCUUCAGCUAGUUGCAGAUCAUGUCCCAUAUCUAUUCAAAUCUAUCAAUAAUUCCCUUAAAUUUGCCUAAGCUGAUAAUUAUAGCUUAAUCAAUCUGUCAUUAGCCUUCUUCCUACAUAAAAAAAAAAAACUGUUGCUUGAAGAAAGCAUUCAUUCAGAGGAAAUGGACAUAAAAAAAGUGCUCGCUGAAGCAAAAUCUGCAGAUGUUAAGAAUUUAUUUCCAAAGGAUUCUAUGAUCAGGAAAGUCAGAACAAUGUCAGUAGAGGGUUUUGCCAGUGUAGAUUUUAAAGCAUGAUCUGAUAGGAAAGACAAGAUAAUUAUGAAACCUGGACAACAAAUACAUCUAAUCUUCCAUUAAAAUAACUGGUUUGACACGUCAAAUUAUCUUAUUAAUUUUUUUUUUGACAUUUAAAAUUAUCAAAAAUUAAAAUCACUAAAAUUAAAAAUUUAAUACUCAACCAACAGAUCACAUAAUUACGGUUUGAUUAAGUUGCUGAUGCGUGCAGAAGAUGUUUAAGAAAUUUUGUGCAGUGAUGAGUUCACACUUGGCCAAUAACAAACUAGAAAUAGAUUUUUAAUUAUGGUUUCAUAAAUUCCGAAAAAGUUUUUAAUAUGUUGAGUUGUUGGAUAGGUUGAAAUGAACCAGAUAUCCAUUACCAAUAUAAACAAAUUUUUUUUUAAAUUGAAAUAUCUGAAAUCAUAUUUGAAUAGGUCAGAAAUUCAAGUGUUGAUUUGGGUUUUUAUUAGCUUCUAAAUCAAAAAAUAAUUUACUAUAGGCUUGGAAACCAACUUAUAUCACCAGUUAUAAAUUCAGAGAUAACUCCAAAAUUAACCAACCAUGUUAGCAAAUUGACCAAGAACAAAUUAAUUGGGUAGCUUGCAUUGGCAAUUUGACAUGUUUCCCUUCUCUGUUUUUUUUUUUUUUUUUUAAUUCUUUUUUUCAUUUGUUACACGUGUUCCACCACAAAUAUAUUUGAUUUAAUCAAAUUAAUUUUUACUCUUCAUUU
rnacentral:lncRNA from 1 species